CAUUGAUACACCAGUUCUAGUAUGAUCACUGAAAUUAAGCAAUGUUGAGUUUAGUUAGUACUUAGAUGGGUGACCGCUUGGAGAUAUCGGGUGCUGCAAGC